GGGGAAUUUUGCGCAAUGGGGGCAACCCUGACGCAGCGACGCCGCGUGGGUGAGGAAGGCCUUCGGGUUGUAAAGCCCUGUCUAAGGGGAAGAUAGUGACGGUACCCUUAGAGGAAGCCCCGGCUAACUACGUGCCAGCAGCCGCGGUAACACGUAGGGGGCGAGCGUUGUCCGGAAUUACUGGGCGUAAAGGGCGUGUAGGCGGUCUGUCAAGUCAGCUGUGAAAAGCCCCGGCUCAACCGGGGUCUUGCAGUUGAAACUGGUGGGCUUGAGUGCAGGAGAGGGGGGUGGAAUUCCUGGUGUAGCGGUGAAAUGCGUAGAUAUCAGGAGGAACACCGGUGGCGAAGGCGACCUUCUGGCCUGUUACUGACGCUGAGGCGCGAAAGCCAGGGGAGCGAAC
rnacentral:rRNA from 1 species